rnacentral:lncRNA from 1 species
AUAUAUAACACAUAUCAGAAGCCUAGAAACAAAGAAAAAAGAGAAAACGAUCUGUAAAAGAGUACUAGGAGAGUCAAUAAAAGAAUAGAAGCUGCGCAACAGUCCCUUUUUUCCCCAAAAAAAUUAUAGUAGAUGUCACCAUUUUUAUAGCCAUGCAAAGCUCCCAUUUCUUCACCAAAAACCCAGCUGCAAAAAUCACCUAAAACCAUCACUGUCCAGCCCUCAAACCCGGCAAAUAAUAGCCCAAAAACCAGCUCAAAUCCCUCACCAAAACACAGCAAAGAAGUUUGAAAAAUCAAUUUCUAACAUCACUAAAAGAGGUACAACUUAAGCUCCAUUUUCAACCCAUUAACGCCAAGUUUUAACCACUAAAAACGAGCAGAAAUAACCCUGAAAUCCAGCUCGAAAACAACCCCCAAAAUACCCCAAAACGUCAACCAAACCAGCCCCAAAAACCUUUCGCAAGACAACUCCAAAGAGCAGAAAAACCAGCUACGAAAAUUGCUGAAAACCAGUCCGAAAACCCCCAAAAAAUCCCUCAAAAACAGCUCUAUUUCCCAGCGAAAAUCAGAGACAAAACCGGCUACAAAACAGCCCCAAACAUUGGUUAAAAUCUCCAGCAAAAAUAGUCAUGUAAAGCACCAUGUUCUUCACCCAAAACCAGAUCUAAAACACCUCUAGAUCACCAAAAUAUGCAGCUAAAAACCAGCCCUGAAACCAGCUAAAAAAUAGUCAUGAAAUCACUCUAAACCUCCAUUUUUCCUCCGUUAAACCGCCACGAAAGUUGUCGUCCUUCAUCCAAAACCAGUAACUCGUUCCUACUCCGUCAAUCAUUGUAAAAGAGCCGAGUUAGAGUCAGGUUAGUCGAGAUUCAUUGAGGUUUCCCGGCAAGGUUCGUUGUUUCAUGUCGAGCUCUCCAUUUUGUCAUUUGAUUUCCUGAACUUUGGUUUGGAGUUUUCUUCAAAUAUAAGGUCCCUUUACCUUCUUAAUAUACUUCUUAGUUCCAUGGUAUUUUCUGCAAUUUUAUUUGCCUUUAUGAAAGUUAGAUGAUACUCUGGUUAAUACGUGAUUACUUGCCUAAAUCAUGAAUCCGCUUGAGAAUAUCUAUAUGGUUGAUGUAUAUUUUAGCUUUAUGAAUUUGGAAUCCAUGUGUAACCAACUGAAAUGUGUUAAGGAGAAAAUGAAUAACGUUUGCUAAGAGAGAUUGGAAAGUAAGGUUUGGAACCACGGAAAAGGAUUUGGGACUUUGGAUUGAUGAUUGGAAGGGGGUCUUCGCAUUUGCUAUCAUUUUGUCGCAUUUGCGAUCAUUUUGUCGCAUUUGCGACUUCUGUGGCUCUAAGGCAGGGUUCACAAUUGUAAUUCUUGUCUUGCAUUUGUGGCAUUCGCAAUUGUGAACAUGACUUCGCAAUUGCGACACCUGCCGCUGGGUAAAAGAGGGGCAAAAUAGGACUUAGCUCAUUUCACACCAUUUCUCAACCCCUAAACACCCUAGAGGCAAUUUUUCAAGAGGCUUUUCUUCCCAAAUUCAUUGUUAAGUGACUUUAUUCAUUUUCUUUCAAUUACCCAUUACAUUUUAUGAGAUUUCAACAUCAAAUUUAGGAUUUUCAUAGUAGAAAUUAGAAAUUUGGGUAAAUUUUAGGAUUUUUGUAAAAUUGAAAUUUAGACCUCGCAUUGAGGUCGAAUUUCGAAACAAAUCACAUAACCAGGAUCGGGGGUAAAUGAGUGAUUGGGUUUGGGUCCGAAUCUCGGGUUUUGACCAAGCAAGCCCGGAGUUGACUUUUAGUGAUUUUUUAAAAAAUAAUCAAAAUUGAACUUCUUUUAUUUGUGGGUAGUUUCUAAAGCUUAUUUGAAUAAUUUGGUCCAUAAUUUGCUAUAUUUGGUUGGUUUAGAGACUUGUUCAAAAGGCAAGGUUGUGGUUGAUUGAUUACUGAGUUGCAGAGUGAGAUAAGUAUUGGGUUUAACCUUGAUUUCAGAGAAAUAGGAACCCUUGAACUACAUGUUAUGUGAAUUACAUGGAAAACGACGUAUAUGUAUGGUGAUGAAUAUAUAUACGCCAUUAUUAUACUUUCUUCCAUGUUUUCGUUACUUCAUGAUAUAUCUUGUUUCAUACCUUAAUUGCUACUUGCUUUAUUGAUUUCUAUGUCAUAAUUGUUACAUGUCAUUUAGCUAUUCUUGUAUUAAACUGUCUAUUCCUUCCAUGAUUCCAUGCUUAUUUGCUAAUUGUUUUACUUGCAUAUUUAAUUGUCAUGUCUUACUUGCCUUAUAGUUUUGUUGUUUUUGAUGUCUUUUAUAUAUGGUUUCACUUGUAUGAGUUGUCUAACUGAUAGAUACCGAUGAGUUGGUAAGGUCAAGUCAUUCGAGUUGUUAAAGAUUCUUUGAUUAUUAUGUGAUUCUUCAUUGCUUCGUACAUUUACUCUCUUGAUGUAUAAAUUCAUAUAAAUUUUAGUUAUUGAAUUACUAUUAUUGAUUAAGAUUGCUUGGGGAGCUGGUUACACGCCGCAACGGAAAUUGAAAGGAAAUGAAUUGACAUGGAACAAUAAGGACGAAUUUUGAUAAUGAUAAAUGAUGACAUGGUGGGAUAGGGUUGCGCCACAAUGGAUUGUAUAUGUGGUAUUUGGUAUUGAUAAAUGAUGAUAUGGUGGGAUCGGGUUGCAUGCCGUAACGGUUUGUAUAUGUUGUACUUGUUGUUAUUGUUGAGUUGGUCUCGCCAUUUUUAUAUGAGAUGUGUUAUUCUAGGCUUUCUAAUAAUGAGGUUGAGUUCAAUUUCAUGAGUUAAUUGCUUUACUUCCACUUCCUGCUUCUUUUCUUGUAUAUUUAUUAUUACUGUGUACGGGUUAUUGUAAGUGACCCGCUUAGCCUCGUCACUACUUCGUCAAGGUUAGGCUCGGUUCAUAUAGAGUACAUGGAGUCAGUUGUACUCAUAAUAUACUCUGCGCUUCUUGUGCAGAUAUCGGAGAUGGUCCUAGCGGCGCUCAAUAGCUUUUGGCUCGGAUUUAGUCGCUGAUGGAGACUUGAGGUAUAGCUGCACAGCGUCCGCAACCCUGAAGUCCCCUUCCCUACUAUCUUUACUAUUUUAUUGAGUUUCAAAAUAAUGUAUUUUAUUCGGAUCUUAUAUAUAGCACUCUAGAUGUUCAUGACUCGUGACUCCAGGUUCUAGGUUACGUUUAGACUUUGUUGAUCGGCAUUAUUUUACUUUAUUUCAGAC